rnacentral:rRNA from 1 species
CCCCUAGAUGUUCUGGGCCGUACGCGCGCUACAAUGGUCUUCGCAAACGGAUGCAUUCUCGAAGGAGAAUGCCAAUCUUGGAAUCUAUGCCUUGGUCGGGACAGUUGCUUGCAAUUUUUCGACUCGAACCAGGAAUUCCUUGUAAUCGUGAUUCAUCACAUCACGAUGAAUACGUCCCUGCCCUUUGUACACACCGCCCGUCGCUCCUACCGAUCGAAGAGUUAGGUGAAUUGUUUUGAUCGAUAAGAUUUGACUAUGGUCAACUCUCGUUGUGAAAUUCUGUGAAUCUGACUGUUUAGAGGAAGGAAAAGUCGUAACA